rnacentral:rRNA from 1 species
AUUGAACGCUGGCGGCAUGCCUUACACAUGCAAGUCGAACGGCAGCACGGACUUCGGUCUGGUGGCGAGUGGCGAACGGGUGAGUAAUGUAUCGGAACGUACCUUUCAGGUGGGGGAUAACGUAGCGAAAGUUACGCUAAUACCGCAUAUUCUGUGAGCAGGAAAGCAGGGGAUCGCAAGACCUUGCGCUGAUUGAGCGGCCGAUAUCAGAUUAGCUAGUUGGUGGGGUAAAGGCCUACCAAGGCUACGAUCUGUAGCGGGUCUGAGAGGAUGAUCCGCCACACUGGAACUGAGACACGGUCCAGACUCCUACGGGAGGCAGCAGUGGGGAAUUUUGGACAAUGGGCGAAAGCCUGAUCCAGCCAUGCCGCGUGCAGGAAGAAGGCCUUCGGGUUGUAAACUGCUUUAGUCUAGGAAAAAAGGGGUGCGAGGUUAAUACCCUCGUGCUUUGAUGGUACUGGAAGAAUAAGCACCGGCUAACUACGUG